GUGAAAUUGAACUCGCUGUGAAGAUGCAGUGUACCCGCGGCAAGACGGAAAGACCCCGUGAACCUUUACUAUAGCUUGACACUGAACAUUGAGCCUUGAUGUGUAGGAUAGGUGGGAGGCUUUGAAGUGUGGACGCCAGUCUGCAUGGAGCCGGCCUUGAAAUACCACCCUUUAAUGUUUGAUGUUCUAACGUGGACCCGUGAUCCGGGUUGCGGACAGUGUCUGGUGGGUAGUUUGACUGGGGCGGUCUCCUCCUAAAGAGUAACGGAGGAGCACGAAGGUUGGCUAAUCCUGGUCGGACAUCAGGAGGUUAGUGCAAUGGCAUAAGCCAGCUUGACUGCGAGCGUGACGGCGCGAGCAGGUGCGAAAGCAGGUCAUAGUGAUCCGGUGGUUCUGAAUGGAAGGGCCAUCGCUCAACGGAUAAAAGGUACUCCGGGGAUAACAGGCUGAUACCGCCCAAGAGUUCAUAUCGACGGCGGUGUUUGGCACCUCGAUGUCGGCUCAUCACAUCCUGGGGCUGAAGUAGGUCCCAAGGGUAUGGCUGUUCGCCAUUUAAAGUGGUACGCGAGCUGGGUUUAGAACGUCGUGAGACAGUUCGGUCCCUAUCUGCCGUGGGCGCUGGAGAACUGAGGGGGGCUGCUCCUAGUACGAGAGGACCGGAGUGGACGCAUCACUGGUGUUCGGGUUGUCAUGCCAAUGGCACUGCCCGGUAGCUAAAUGCGGAAGAGAUAAGUGCUGAAAGCAUCUAAGCACGAAACUUGCCCCGAGAUGAGUUCUCCCUGAGACUUA
rnacentral:rRNA from 1 species